rnacentral:rRNA from 1 species
CGGCGGACGGGUGAGUAACACGUGGAUAACCUACCUAUAAGACUGGGAUAACUUCGGGAAACCGGAGCUAAUACCGGAUAAUAUAUUGAACCGCAUGGUUCAAUAGUGAAAGGCGGCUUUGCUGUCACUUAUAGAUGGAUCCGCGCCGUAUUAGCUAGUUGGUAAGGUAACGGCUUACCAAGGCAACGAUACGUAGCCGACCUGAGAGGGUGAUCGGCCACACUGGAACUGAGACACGGUCCAG